rnacentral:rRNA from 1 species
UACGAAGGGGGCUAGCGUUGCUCGGAAUCACUGGGCGUAAAGGGCGCGUAGGCGGCGUUUUUAAGUUGGGGGUGAAAGCCUGUGGCUCAACCACAGAAUUGCCUUCGAUACUGGGACGCCUGAGUGUGGUAGAGGUUGGUGGAACUGCGAGUGUAGAGGUGAAAUUCGUAGAUAUUCGCAAGAACACCGGUGGCGAAGGCGGCCAACUGGACCAUCACUGACGCUGAGGCGCGAAAGCGUGGGGAGCAAACAGG